CCAGAGGGUAGUUAAAUAAGAAUACUAGCUUUGGGAGUUAGUGGUGGGAGUUGAAGUCUCUCCCUUCUG
rnacentral:tRNA from 1 species